CGCUGGCGGCGUGCUUAACACAUGCAAGUCGAGCGGAAAGCCCCUUCGGGGUACUCGAACGGCGAACGGGUGAGUAACACGUGAGCAACCUCCCCUAGGCUUUGGGAUAACCCCGGGAAACCGGGGCUAAUACCGAAUAUGACCUGGCCUCGCAUGAGGCUUGGUGGAAAGUUUUUCGGCCUGGGAUGGGCUCGCGGCCUAUCAGCUUGUUGGUGGGGUGAUGGCCUACCAAGGCGACGACGGGUAGCCGGCCUGAGAGGGCGACCGGCCACACUGGGACUGAGACACGGCCCAGACUCCUACGGGAGGCAGCAGUGGGGAAUAUUGCACAAUGGGCGGAAGCCUGAUGCAGCGACGCCGCGUGAGGGAUGACGGCCUUCGGGUUGUAAACCUCUUUCAGCAGGGACGAAGCGUAAGUGACGGUACCUGCAGAAGAAGCGCCGGCCAACUACGUGCCAGCAGCCGCGGUAAGACGUAGGGCGCGAGCGUUGUCCGGAUUUAUUGGGCGUAAAGAGCUCGUAGGCGGCUUGUUACGUCGACCGUGAAAACUUGGGGCUCAACCCCAAGCCUGCGGUCGAUACGGGCAGGCUAGAGUUCGGUAGGGGAGACUGGAAUUCCUGGU
rnacentral:rRNA from 1 species